rnacentral:rRNA from 1 species
GUAGGUGGCAGGCGUUGUCCGGAAUUAUUGGGCGUAAAGCGCGCGCAGGUGGUUCUUUAAGUCUGAUGUGAAAGCCCCCGGCUCAACCGGGGAGGGUCAUUGGAAACUGGGGAACUUGAGUGCAGGAGAGGAAAGUGGAAUUCCACGUGUAGCGGUGAAAUGCGUAGAUAUGUGGAGGAACACCAGUGGCGAAGGCGACUUUCUGGCCUGUAACUGACACUGAGGCGCGAAAGCGUGGGGAGCAAACAGGGAUUAGAUACCCUGGUAGUCCACGCCGUAAACGAUGAGUGCUAAGUGUUGGGGGGGUUUCCCGCCCCUCAGUGCUGCAGCUAACGCAUUAAGCACUCCGCCUGGGGAUACGGUCGCAAGACUG